AUGCUUAUGUUUCCCUUCAGAACGUAUAAAGCUUUCGCCUUUUACUAAAGAUUUCCAUGGAGGGGAACAAUUAUGAGUUUUUUGUGAAUUUUUUGUAACCCCAUUAUAAUGGGGGUA